GAGUUUGAUCAUGGCUCAGGACGAACGCUGGCGGCGUGCCUAACACAUGCAAGUCGAGCGAUGAAGCCCUUCGGGGCUGAUUAGCGGCGGACGGGUGAGUAACACGUGGGUAACCUGCCUCAUAGAGGGGGAUAGCCUCCCGAAAGGGAGAUUAAUACCGCAUAACAUAUUUUGGUCGCAUGAUCGAAAUAUCAAAGGAGUAAUCCGCUAUGAGAUGGACCCGCGGCGCAUUAGCUAGUUGGUGAGGUAACGGCUCACCAAGGCGACGAUGCGUAGCCGACCUGAGAGGGUGAUCGGCCACAUUGGAACUGAGACACGGUCCAGACUCCUACGGGAGGCAGCAGUGGGGAAUAUUGCGCAAUGGGGGAAACCCUGACGCAGCAACGCCGCGUGAAUGAUGAAGGCCUUAGGGUUGUAAAGUUCUGUCUUCUGGGACGAUAAUGACGGUACCAGAGGAGGAAGCCACGGCUAACUACGUGCCAGCAGCCGCGGUA
rnacentral:rRNA from 2 species